UACGUAGGGUGCAAGCGUUGUCCGGAAUUAUUGGGCGUAAAGGGCUCGUAGGCGGUCCAUCACGUCGGGAGUGAAAAGCUGGGGCUUAACCCCAGUCCUGCUUCCGAUACGGGUGGACUAGAGGUAGGCAGGGGAGAGCGGAAUUCCUGGUGUAGCGGUGAAAUGCGCAGAUAUCAGGAGGAACACCGGUGGCGAAGGCGGUUCUCUGGGCCUGACCUGACGCUGAGGAGCGAAAGCGUGGGGAGCGAACAGG
rnacentral:rRNA from 1 species